GUCGGUGGGUCGGUGGGAGCCACAGAAAGAGAAACAGACAUGUGUUAUCUGGGUGCGUAGCCAGUGACUCAUAAACUGGGUCAGAGGGUAAAGGUGAAGGGUCAAACAUCCCUAGACAACCCCCCCCCAACACACACACACAGCCAGUCCGCAGCAGAGCCAGAGAGAGAUAGGAGAUCCAUGUCACACCUGCUGAUGUAAGACUCUUAUCUGUGCUGCGUCUGCACAGAUUUGAAUACAUGUUUGAAUGUAGCCUUGAUUUAACUACACAGAUAAUACUGUGUGUGGGGAGUUGUCUGGUUUAGUCACUUUAACAGGACUGUCUCUACUGAGGGACCUACUGAUAAGGACUAAUGGAGAGGGGGAGAAAGAAGGAGAGAGUGGGGAGAGAGAGGGGGGAGGCAGAGAAUCUGUUUGUGUCUCGGUCUGUGUAAGAAUAUGUUUGCAUUAUUAGGUUGAAUAAGGUGCUAUAAGGCUGAAUAAGGCAUUGUAAGGCUGAAUAAGGUGCUAUAAGGCUGAAUAAGGCAUUGUAAGGCUGAAUAAGGCAUUGUAAGGCUGAAUAAGGCAUUAUAUGGCUGAAUAAGGCAUUGUAAGGCUGAAUAAGGCCCUAUAAUGCUGAAUAAGGCAUUAUAAGGCAGAAUAAGGCACUAUAAGGCUGAAUAAGGCAUUAUUAGGCUUUAUUAAAAAAGCAGAGAAUAGCAACCACUGUGGUGAGACAAAAGGCGUUCAAAUCCCUUGAGAUACUGUUGUCUUUCUAUAGUCCAGAUACUGGAGAAUACAUCCAACAACAACAACGACAAAGACAACAACAACAACACAGUAAAAUCCCAAUCAGAAACCGUCCUGAUCAAAAGAAUAACAUAAAAACACAUGACUGAAGCAGAUGAUGCUCAGUGGUCAAAACAGAACAGGUCUAUAGAGGCCCAGUCCAGGAGGAGCGCUUCUCAUAAACAAUCUCCAAUCAGAAACCCAUUAUGGGUCAAUUAUUACCUCACAGAGAGAGAGAGAGGUCAUCAGAACACUUAUUAAGAACAUGUACGUGUUCCGCUGAUACAAAAACAAUCCAUGGCCCGGGUCCAUAGAACAGGUCUCCCCAUUAUGACGGCAUGAUGGGUGGACUGGCGGCCAAUGUGAGAGGACCCACGAGUCAAAUGACCAGGGUUAAAGGUUCCGAGACUGUUCUAGUCAUUCUAUUUCUGUUUCCACCUCUCUGAUCCCUCCCAACAUGCCUCAGGAUUCCACUACUAAACAUAGAACUAGAACGGCUGCCUGUCUGCCCAUUAUGACGCCGUUGACAUGAAUAGGGAGGCCCGUUCUACUCCUUCUACAUUCCUCUGUUUACAAAUGUACAUGAGAUAUAUAUCGUCAUGGUAACAAAAUGCAUAGUCUGUCUUCAAUACAGUAGGAUGUUGGGUUUAAAGUCCCCCAAUGGGAUUUCUGGAAGCAUAUUCAUAAAGAAUGUCAGUGUAAGAGUGCUGAUUUAGGAUCAGUUUGUCCGUUUAGAUUAUAAUGAAUAAGAGAGGGCACCUGAUCCUAGACCAGCAGCCCUAUUCUGAGACCUGCUUUAUGUACACAGUCCCUGGUGCUUCAGACAGCAAAGUGCUUGGUCACCAUCCAACUCCAAGUCAUUAUUACUGUUGUCUGAUUGACAGCUGUCUGAUGGAAUAACAAGAUAAGACUGAAAAGUUAUAAACAAUCAACUGCUUAAACAACGAGCAGUAAAACACCACUUCACUGGUCUGAGAUCCGGAGUCUGUUGACGUUAUUAUUAUGCUUUUUUAAAUCCACAAUAAACCUUAAUAUUGGGAAGAAUAUUGAAAAGGAAAACAAAAAAACAGUACACAGUUUGUAUAUCCUUCAGCCUCCAAGAUGCAGGAAGAGGAAUGUUGAACACCAAAGAGGAGGUAGAACCAUUCUCCUUCAGCCUCCAAGAUGCAGGAAGAGGAAUGUUGAACACCAAAGAGGAGGUAGAACCAUUCUCCUUCAGCCUCCAAGAUGCAGGAAGAGGAAUGUUGAACACCAAAGAGGAGGGGGAAAAAUGUACAACUUCUACUCACAAAAUAGAUAGCCUGGUCCCAGAUCUGUUUGUGCUACCAUGCCAACUACAUCGCUGUCGUGGACGAGACAAACGUGACAUUGAGUUCGUGACAAGGAGUUGAUGACAGCACAAAAACAGACUGGAACUCAGGCUACAAAGCGGAGCGACACAACAGCCUUAAAACAGAGGCUCUCUGUUAGAGCUGCAACACACAGAGCCAUCUGCAAUCAGCAACUUCACAACAACGUCGCGCUCGUCUCUUCCCCCCACCAGGCCUCUCUGGGAGGGACUAGGGGUUAGAGGUCAAGGGUUAGAGGGCGUAAGGAUCCGGUGACGGAGAGAUCCAGUGUCGUCCCACGAGGUGCCCCAUGAGGCCCUAGGAACCCCAAAACGAUCCGACUCCAUCCCUGUGACACCAUGCAGGACAUGAGAGCUGGAGAAAGGCGUUCUAUGGUCAGAAGGCACCGUAUCAUGACAUCAUCAUUCUGGAACCAUACAGAGGGAGGCUAUUGGCUGUUUCUCCUGUUCUCUCCUCUGUCUAUCCAUUCAUCAAUAUCUCUAGUCUCUAUUCUCCACUUCUCUCCUCUGUCUAUCGCCCUCUUCUGUGUCUUUGCUCCAUCUCUCGUCUUCUCCCCAAUUUCCGUGUCUCUGGACUGGUGGGGUCAGUACCUCAGUACCAGGUCAGGGCUGAACACCACGGAGUGUCUGGGUAUAAGACACAAUGGACAGACCUGAACCUGAGAGAGAGAGAGAGAGAGAGAGAGAGAGAGAGAUGAGAGAGAGAGA
ensembl:lncRNA